rnacentral:rRNA from 1 species
GUAGGGAGCGAGCGUUGUCCGGAAUUACUGGGUGUAAAGGGAGCGUAGGCGGGAUAGCAAGUCAGAUGUGAAAACUAUGGGCUCAACCUGUAGAUUGCAUUUGAAACUGUUGUUCUUGAGUGAAGUAGAGGUAAGCGGAAUUCCUAGUGUAGCGGUGAAAUGCGUAGAUAUUAGGAGGAACAUCGGUGGCGAAGGCGGCUUACUGGGCUUUUACUGACGCUGAGGCUCGAAAGCGUGGGGAGCAAACAGGAUUAGAUACCCUGGUAGUCCACGCUGUAAACGAUGAUUACUAGGUGUGGGGGGACUGACCCCUUCCGUGCCGCAGUUAACACAAUAAGUGAUCCACCUGGGGAGUACGACCGCAAGGUUGAAACUCAA